rnacentral:siRNA from 1 species
AUAAUAGAUGGAUGCCCAUUAUAA